AGCUACCAGAAGAAACAGGCACAUUCUGGUUGCUCCCAAGCUGUGACACCAUAGAGGAGCCCCACCGCACUGAGAACUGGCUCGAGCUGCCAGCUGACUGAGGAGUCUCUGGGACUGCCACUGGCCACCUACCCUGAGGAGAUGGAGGAUCCCCACAGAUCCAGGGUUUUGAAGGCACCCAUUGGAGCUAAGGUGACUGAGAAGCAGUUCAUUGAGAACUGUAACAAAGGUGAGCGACACAUAUGGUUCCGAUGAUGACUUCAGUGUCUACUGCUGCACAUGGCCUCUUCAUAGAUGAUGUUGGAUUCCAUGGAUCUCAAGAGUUCUAAACCAGAGCCUGGUUUUAGCUGCAACCUGCAGCACUCUACCAUACUGAUCCAGUCACAGAUCCCUGCAUUCCUAUCUGGAGAGUGACAUUUUGACCUCUGCAGCCAACUCCUUAGAUUCAUCUUCAACAAUAAUACCUACUGUGUACAGAGAGCAAAAAGUAUUAUGUUGCCAUUAAGGUAAAGGUUCCUGGGUCCAAAAAUUAUGUAUGGAAUUGGGCUGUUUCAUCAUGCUCACAUUGCAAACUAGCUGAGUUUUUUGCUCUGGCUAUAAAUGUUACUGAUAAGAAGCUUUCAUAGCUCUAGCUCUCCUUCCUCCAUCACUAGGAGACUAAGAGGAGAGGUUGAAACUAUGGGGACCUAGGGGGUUUCUCAAGACUCCAGCAGGGAGAAACUAUAGAAAGAGAAAAUCAGUUUGAAAGCUUUUGGGAAGUGCAAUUUGGCACUUUGAGACAGUAGAAGAAAUGGAUCAGUAAUGCUCUAGUGUAGAGGAUGAUGACAGAGCACUAUCUAUUUAGUUCUGUCCUGUCAC